rnacentral:rRNA from 1 species
AAUCCCAGUGUACGUUUCGACACACUAUCAUUACGUGAAUCCAUAGCGUAAUGAAGCGAACCGGGGGAACUGAAACAUCUAAGUACCCCGAGGAAAAGAAAUCAACCGAGAUUCCCCCAGUAGCGGCGAGCGAACGGGGAGCAGCCCAGAGUCUGAAUCAGCUUGUGUGUUAGUGGAACGGUCUGGAAAGUCCGACGGUACAGGGUGAUAGUCCCGUACACCAAAAUGCACAGGUUGUGAACUCGAAGAGUAGGGCGGGACACGUGGUAUCCUGUCUGAAUAUGGGGGGACCAUCCUCCAAGGCUAAAUACUCCUGACUGACCGAUAGUGAACCAGUACCGUGAGGGAAAGGCGAAAAGAACCCCGGCGAGGGGAGUGAAAAAGAACCUGAAACCGUGUACGUACAAGCAGUGGGAGCCUCUUUAUGGGGUGACUGCGUACCUUUUGUAUAAUGGGUCAGCGACUUAUAUUCUGUAGCAAGGUUAACCGUAUAGGGGAGCCGAAGGGAAACCGAGUCUUAACUGGGCGUUAAGUUGCAGGGUAUAGACCCGAAACCCGGUGAUCUAGCCAUGGGCAGGUUGAAGGUUGGGUAACACUAACUGGAGGACCGAACCGACUAAUGUUGAAAAAUUAGCGGAUGACUUGUGGCUGGGGGUGAAAGGCCAAUCAAACCGGGAGAUAGCUGGUUCUCCCCGAAAGCUAUUUAGGUAGCGCCUCGUGAACUCAUCUUCGGGGGUAGAGCACUGUUUCGGCUAGGGGGUCAUCCCGACUUACCAACCCGAUGCAAACUGCGAAUACCGAAGAAUGUUAUCACGGGAGACACACGGCGGGUGCUAACGUCCGUCGUGAAGAGGGAAACAACCCAGACCGCCAGCUAAGGUCCCAAAGUCACAGUUAAGUGGGAAACGAUGUGGGAAGGCACAGACAGCCAGGAUGUUGGCUUAGAAGCAGCCAUCAUUUAAAGAAAGCGUAAUAGCUCACUGGUCGAGUCGGCCUGCGCGGA